AGUGAACGCUGGCGGUAGGCCUAACACAUGCAAGUCGAACGGCAGCACAGUAAGAGCUUGCUCUUACGGGUGGCGAGUGGCGGACGGGUGAGGAAUACAUCAGAAUCUACUUUUACGUGGAGGAUAACGUCGGGAAACUUACGCUAAUACCGCAUACGACCUACGGGUGAAAGCAGGGGAUCUUCGGACCUUGCGCGAUUGAAUGAGCCGAUGUCGGAUUAGCUAGUUGGCGGGGUAAAGGCCCACCAAGGCGACGAUCCGUAGCUGGUCUGAGAGGAGGAUCAGGCACACUGGAACUGAGACACGGUCCAGACUCCUACGGGAGGCAGCAGUGGGGAAUAUUGGACAAUGGGCGCAAGCCUGAUCCAGCCAUACCGCGUGGGUGAAGAAGGCCUUCGGGUUGUAAAGCCCUUUUGUUGGGAAAGAAAAGCAGCAGGUUAAUACCCCGCUGUUCCGACGGUACCCAAAGAAUAAGCACGGGCUAACUUCGUG
rnacentral:rRNA from 1 species